rnacentral:rRNA from 1 species
AUGAGUCAUGAGUCAGGGCAUGUCACACAAAAUAGUGGUGUAGUGAACAUUGCAGAAAAUGGUGUUAGAUAUUAUGGCAGAUUAAGUGACAUCUUUGAAAUGUCAUACAAUGAUUACAAAGUGGUGUUCUUUAAUUGUGAUUGGUACGAUGUCUACCACAAAGUUGGCAUUCAAACGGAUGAGUUUGGGUUCACUCUUGUGAACAAGUCUCGGAAAAUACACACAGGAGAUGAGCUAGAGGAUGAUCCUUUUGUAUUUUGCUCCCAAGUGCAGCAGGUUUUCUACGUUCAAGACCCAAAAGCUGAACUAUGGAAUGUAGUAGUGGAAGUCAGGCCUCGUGAUCUUUUUGACAUGGGUGUUGACGAAUCAUCAGAUGAA